ACGCAAGUUGCGCCCCAAGCCGUUAGGCUGAGGGCACGUCUGCCUGGGUGUCACGCAUCGUUGCCCCCCAAAACCCCCCCCGGGGGAUCGUUGGGCGGCGGAAACUGGCCUCCCGUGCGCUGCCAGCUCGCGGUUGGCCCAAAUUCGAGCCCCGAGGCGACCGUGCCGCGACGAUCGGUGGUGAAAUGAGCCUCUCGAACUCCCGUCGCCGGCUCGCGUCCUCUGUUGCGGGCUCGCGGACCCUUCGAGCGCCUUCUAUCUCUGGCGCUGCUAGCUUUGCGACCCCAGGUCAGGCGGGACUACCCGCUGAGUUUAAGCAUAUCAAUAAGCGGAGGAAAAGAAACUUACCAGGAUUCCCUUAGUAACGGCGAGCGAACCGGGAAGAGCCC
rnacentral:rRNA from 1 species